rnacentral:rRNA from 1 species
CCUACGGGCGGCAGCAGUGGGGAAUAUUGGACAAUGGGCGAAAGCCUGAUCCAGCCAUGCCGCGUGUGUGAAGAAGGCCUUCGGGUUGUAAAGCACUUUCAGUGGGGAAGAAAGCCUUGGGGCUAAUACCCUCGAGGAAGGACAUCACCCACAGAAGAAGCACUGGCUAACUCCGUGCCAGUAGCCGCGGUAAUACGGAGGGUGCGAGCGUUAAUCGGAAUUACUGGGCGUAAAGCGCGCGUAGGCGGUCUGAUAAGCCGGUUGUGAAAGCCCCGGGCUCAACCUGGGAACGGCAUCCGGAACUGUCAGGCUAGAGUGCAGGAGAGGAAGGUAGAAUUCCCGGUGUAGCGGUGAAAUGCGUAGAGAUCGGGAGGAAUACCAGUGGCGAAGGCGGCCUUCUGGACUGACACUGACGCUGAGGUGCGAAAGCGUGGGUAGCAAACAGGAUUAGAUACCCCGGUAGUC